rnacentral:rRNA from 1 species
UAGGGAAUCUUCCGCAAUGGACGCAAGUCUAACGGAGCAACGCCGCGUGAGUGAAGAAGGAUUUCGGUUCGUAAAACUCUGUUGUUAGAGAAGAACAGCGCAUAGAGUAACUGUUAUGCGUGUGACGGUAUCUAACCAGAAAGCCACGGCUAACUACGUGCCAGCAGCCGCGGUAAUACGUAGGUGGCAAGCGUUGUCCGGAUUUAUUGGGCGUAAAGCGAGCGCAGGCGGUCAAUUAAGUCUGAUGUGAAAGCCCCCGGCUCAACCGGGGAGGGUCAUUGGAAACUGGUUGACUUGAGUGCAGAAGAGGAGAGUGGAAUUCCAUGUGUAGCGGUGAAAUGCGUAGAUAUAUGGAGGAACACCAGUGGCGAAGGCGACUCUCUGGUCUGUAACUGACGCUGAGGUUCGAAAGCGUGGGUAGCAAACAGG